GAUGAACGCUGGCGGCGUGCCUAAUACAUGCAAGUCGAGCGAACAGAUGAGGAGCUUGCUCCUCUGACUUUAGCGGCGGACGGGUGAGUAACACGUGGAUAACCUACCUAUAAGACUGGGAUAACUUCGGGAAACCGGAGCUAAUACCGGAUAAUAUAUUGAACCGCAUGGUUCAAUAGUGAAAGACGGUUUUGCUGUCACUUAUAGAUGGAUCCGCGCCGCAUUAGCUAGUUGGUAAGGUAACGGCUUACCAAGGCAACGAUGCGUAGCCGACCUGAGAGGGUGAUCGGCCACACUGGAACUGAGACACGGUCCAGACUCCUACGGGAGGCAGCAGUAGGGAAUCGUCCGCAAUGGGCGAAAGCCUGACGGAGCAACGCCGCGUGAGUGAUGAAGGUCUUCGGAUCGUAAAACUCUGUUAUUAGGGAAGAACAAAUGUGUAAGUAACUAUGCACGUCUUGACGGUACCUAAUCAGAAAGCAACGGCUAACUACGUG
rnacentral:rRNA from 1 species